rnacentral:rRNA from 1 species
UACGUAGGGUGCGAGCGUUGUCCGGAAUUACUGGGCGUAAAGAGCUCGUAGGUGGUUUGUCGCGUUGUUCGUGAAAACUCACAACUCAAUUGUGGGCGUGCGGGCGAUACGGGCAGACUGGAGUACUGCAGGGGAGACUGGAAUUCCUGGUGUAGCGGUGGAAUGCGCAGAUAUCAGGAGGAACACCGGGUGGCGAAGGCGGGUCUCUGGGCAGUAACUGACGCUGAGGAGCGAAAGCGUGGGGAGCGAACAGG